GGUUCCCGCAACAUCGUGAGUAGUCCAUUGAACCUUAUCAUUUAGUGGAAGGAGAAGUCGUAACAGGGUUUUCGAAGUUGAACCUGCGGAAGGAUCAUUG
rnacentral:ncRNA from 1 species